rnacentral:rRNA from 1 species
UGGGGAAUAUUGGACAAUGGGCGAAAGCCUGAUCCAGCCAUGCCGCGUGAGUGAUGAAGGCCCUAGGGUUGUAAAGCUCUUUCACCGGGGAAGAUAAUGACGGUACCCGGAGAAGAAGCCCCGGCUAACUUCGUGCCAGCAGCCGCGGUAAUACGAAGGGGGCUAGCGUUGUUCGGAAUUACUGGGCGUAAAGCGCACGUAGGCGGAUCAGUCAGUUAGGGGUGAAAUCCCAGGGCUCAACCCUGGAACUGCCUUUAAUACUGCUGAUCUAGAGUUCGAGAGAGGUGAGUGGAAUUCCGAGUGUAGAGGUGAAAUUCGUAGAUAUUCGGAGGAACACCAGUGGCGAAGGCGGCUCACUGGCUCGAUACUGACGCUGAGGUGCGAAAGCGUGGGGAGCAAACAG